UACAACGAGUAUUUAAAAAUGCUGAGAGUUGUAAGUGUCCGUAUCGGUAAACCGAUCUUUAUAAAAUUAAGAAUUUAUAUAUAAUACUUGUUUAUUAACAAGAUUAUUAUAUUUAAGUAAGUUUUAGUGAAUUGAACCAUCUAAGUAACUAAAAAAAAAAUCAACCGAGAUAAUGUAAGUAGUGGCGAACGAAAACAUUUAAUAGACUUUUUAAACUAUAUUUAAAUAUAUUUGAAUAUAUUAAAGAACGCCAUAGAAGGUAUAAACGUGAUAGCCCUGUAAAAUAUAUAUGUUUGUGAAAAUAGUUUAAAUAUUUAAAGUAAAAUAAAACACGCAAGUUUUGUUUGAAUACUGGGGUACCACCCUCAAAGUCUAAAAGUAAAAUUUGAUGAUUUAUAGCAAAAAAGUACCGUAAGGGAAAGGUGAAAAAGAAUUUUAGAAUUUGAAAUAGAACCUGAAACUUAACGCUGACAAUCAGUUGAAGCUUUAUAAAAGUAACAACGUGCCUGUUGUAUAAUGAAUCAACGAGUUUAUUUUAGUGGCAAGCUUAAAUUGAAUUUAAAUGUAGGCGUAAAGAAAUUGAAUUUAAAAUUAUGUAAAAGUCUCUGAAAUAAAACCCGAAACUAAGUGAGCUAACCAUGAACAGGUUGAAAAUUUUAGCGGUAACGCUUGUUGGAAGACCGAACCCGUGUCUGUGGAAAAAUACUGGGAUGAUUUGUGGUUAGGGGUGAAAGGCCAAUCAAACUUAGAGAUAGCUGGUUUUCUGCGAAAUCUAUUUAAGUAGAGCGUUUAAAUAACUGUAUAAUAGGGUAGAGCACUCAAUAAACUAGGGGGGCUUAACGCUUUACUGAAUUUAAUGAAACUCCGAAUAUAAUAUAUAAGAAUUUAAGCAGACAGACUAUGGGUGCUAAGAUCCAUAUGUCAAGAGGGAAACAGCCCAGACUACACGUUAAGGUCCCUAAAAAUAAUUAAGUGAGAAAGAUUAUAAAAAAAUUUAAACAACCGGUAGGUAGGCUUGGAAGCAGCCAUCCUUUAAAGAAA
rnacentral:rRNA from 1 species